rnacentral:rRNA from 1 species
UACGUAGGGUGCGAGCGUUGUCCGGAAUUAUUGGGCGUAAAGGGCUCGUAGGCGGUUUGUCGCGUCGGGAGUGAAAUCCACUGGCUUAACUGGUGGCUUGCUUUCGAUACGGGCGGGCUAGAGUUCGGUAGGGGAGACUGGAAUUCCUGGUGUAGCGGUGAAAUGCGCAGAUAUCAGGAGGAACACCGGUGGCGAAGGCGGGUCUCUGGGCCGAUACUGACGCUGAGGAGCGAAAGCGUGGGGAGCGAACAGG